rnacentral:rRNA from 1 species
ACUAAGCGUACACGGUGGAUGCCCUGGCAGUCAGAGGCGAUGAAGGACGUGCUAAUCUGCGAAAAGCGUCGGUAAGGUGAUAUGAACCGUUAUAGCCGGCGAUGUCCGAAUGGGGAAACCCAGUGUGAUUCGUCACACUAUCGUUAACUGAAUACAUAGGUUAACGAGGCGAACCGGGGGAACUGAAACAUCUAAGUACCCCGAGGAAAAGAAAUCAACCGAGAUUCCCCCAGUAGCGGCGAGCGAACGGGGAGCAGCCCAGAGUCUGAAUCAGCUUGUGUGUUAGUGGAACGGUCUGGAAAGUCCGACGGUACAGGGUGAUAGUCCCGUACACCAAAAUGCACAGGUUGUGAACUCGAAGAGUAGGGCGGGACACGUGGUAUCCUGUCUGAAUAUGGGGGGACCAUCCUCCAAGGCUAAAUACUCCUGACUGACCGAUAGUGAACCAGUACCGUGAGGGAAAGGCGAAAAGAACCCCGGCGAGGGGAGUGAAAAAGAACCUGAAACCGUGUACGUACAAGCAGUGGGAGCACCUUCGGGUGUGACUGCGUACCUUUUGUAUAAUGGGUCAGCGACUUAUAUUCUGUAGCAAGGUUAACCGUAUAGGGGAGCCGCAGGGAAACCGAGUCUUAACUGGGCGUUAAGUUGCAGGGUAUAGACCCGAAACCCGGUGAUCUAGCCAUGGGCAGGUUGAAGGUUGGGUAACACUAACUGGAGGACCGAACCGACUAAUGUUGAAAAAUUAGCGGAUGACUUGUGGCUGGGGGUGAAAGGCCAAUCAAACCGGGAGAUAGCUGGUUCUCCCCGAAAGCUAUUUAGGUAGCGCCUCGUGAACUCAUCUUCGGGGGUAGAGCACUGUUUCGGCUAGGGGGUCAUCCCGACUUACCAACCCGAUGCAAACUACGAAUACCGAAGAAUGUUAUCACGGGAGACACACGGCGGGUGCUAACGUCCGUCGUGAAGAGGGAAACAACCCAGACCGCCAGCUAAGGUCCCAAAGUCAUGGUUAAGUGGGAAACGAUGUGGGAAGGCACAGACAGCCAGGAUGUUGGCUUAGAAGCAGCCAUCAUUUAAAGAAAGCGUAAUAGCUCACUGGUCGAGUCGGCCUGCGCGGAAGAUGUAACGGGGCUAAACCAUGCACCGAAGCUGCGGCAGCGACACUAUGUGUUGUUGGGUAGGGGAGCGUUCUGUAAGCCUGCGAAGGUGACCUGUGAGGGUUGCUGGAGGUAUCAGAAGUGCGAAUGCUGACAUAAGUAACGAUAAAGCGGGUGAAAAGCCCGCUCGCCGGAAGACCAAGGGUUCCUGUCCAACGUUAAUCGGGGCAGGGUGAGUCGACCCCUAAGGCGAGGCCGAAAGGCGUAGUCGAUGGGAAACAGGUUAAUAUUCCUGUACUUGGUGUUACUGCGAAGGGGGGACGGAGAAGGCUAUGUUAGCCGGGCGACGGUUGUCCCGGUUUAAGCAUGUAGGCUGAUUGUCCAGGCAAAUCCGGAUAAUCAAGGCUGAGGUGUGAUGACGAGGCACUACGGUGCUGAAGUAACAAAUGCCCUGCUUCCAGGAAAAGCCUCUAAGCAUCAGGUAACAUUAAAUCGUACCCCAAACCGACACAGGUGGUCAGGUAGAGAAUACCAAGGCGCUUGAGAGAACUCGGGUGAAGGAACUAGGCAAAAUGGUGCCGUAACUUCGGGAGAAGGCACGCUGGUGUGUAGGUGAAGUCCCUGCGGAUGGAGCUGAGACCAGUCGAAGAUACCAGCUGGCUGCAACUGUUUAUUAAAAACACAGCACUGUGCAAACACGAAAGUGGACGUAUACGGUGUGACGCCUGCCCGGUGCCGGAAGGUUAAUUGAUGGGGUUAUCCGUAAGGAGAAGCUCUUGAUCGAAGCCCCGGUAAACGGCGGCCGUAACUAUAACGGUCCUAAGGUAGCGAAAUUCCUUGUCGGGUAAGUUCCGACCUGCACGAAUGGCGUAAUGAUGGCCAGGCUGUCUCCACCCGAGACUCAGUGAAAUUGAACUCGCUGUGAAGAUGCAGUGUACCCGCGGCAAGACGGAAAGACCCCGUGAACCUUUACUAUAGCUUGACACUGAACAUUGAGCCUUGAUGUGUAGGAUAGGUGGGAGGCUUUGAAGCGUGGACGCCAGUCUGCGUGGAGCCAACCUUGAAAUACCACCCUUUAAUGUUUGAUGUUCUAACGUUGGCCCCUGACCGGGGUUGCGGACAGUGUCUGGUGGGUAGUUUGACUGGGGCGGUCUCCUCCCAAAGCGUAACGGAGGAGCACGAAGGUUAGCUAAUCCUGGUCGGACAUCAGGAGGUUAGUGCAAUGGCAUAAGCUAGCUUGACUGCGAGCGUGACGGCGCGAGCAGGUGCGAAAGCAGGUCAUAGUGAUCCGGUGGUUCUGAAUGGAAGGGCCAUCGCUCAACGGAUAAAAGGUACUCCGGGGAUAACAGGCUGAUACCGCCCAAGAGUUCAUAUCGACGGCGGUGUUUGGCACCUCGAUGUCGGCUCAUCACAUCCUGGGGCUGAAGUAGGUCCCAAGGGUAUGGCUGUUCGCCAUUUAAAGUGGUACGCGAGCUGGGUUUAGAACGUCGUGAGACAGUUCGGUCCCUAUCUGCCGUGGGCGCUGGAGAAUUGAGGGGGGCUGCUCCUAGUACGAGAGGACCGGAGUGGACGCAUCACUGGUGUUCGGGUUGUCAUGCCAAUGGCACUGCCCGGUAGCUAAAUGCGGAAGAGAUAAGUGCUGAAAGCAUCUAAGCACGAAACUUGCCCCGAGAUGAGUUCUCCCUGAGACUAUAAGUCUCCUGAAGGAACGUUAAAGACGAUGACGUUGAUAGGCCGGGUGUGUAAGCGCAGCGAUGCGUUGAGCUAACCGGUACUAAUGAACCGUGAGGCUUAACC